GGGCCUGUAGCUCAGUUGGUUAGAGCAUCUCGUUUACACCGAGAGGGUCGGGGGUUCGAGUCCCUCCGGGCCCA
rnacentral:tRNA from 1 species